UACGUAGGGUGCGAGCGUUAAUCGGAAUUACUGGGCGUAAAGCGUGUGCAGGCGGUUUGUUAAGACAGGUGUGAAAUCCCCGGGCUUAACCUGGGAAUUGCGCUUGUUACUGGCAAGCUAGAGUGCGUCAGAGGGAGGUGGAAGUUCCACGUGUAGCAGUGAAAUGCGUAGAGAUGUGGAGGAACACCGAUGGCGAAGGCAGCCUCCGUGGAUGACACUGAC
rnacentral:rRNA from 1 species